rnacentral:lncRNA from 1 species
AAGGGGGGGGGUGUUGCUUUGUUGUCUCUCCUGCAAGGGCUGCCUCGGUCUCCCCUCCUGGGAUCUGGUGAGUCUCCUCUCUCUCCCCCCAGAGGGUGCAGUGGGGAGACGGGGGGGGGGUCCCAGGGCUGCAGCAGGGGAAGAUGCCUGGGGGGCCUGAUCUGCUCAUGCGGGGGGGGGACCCCAAGUCAGGGAGGAGAGGGUCCUGCCAGGGAGGGGCCAGGUCUGCCACGCUCUCCUUCCUGCAGAUCAGAGGAUCCCAAACUCAUUUGGCCUUCGGCCCCCCCUUCAGAAAAUCAAUAACUCCCACGAAAUCUCCCUUCUUUAAACAAAGGAGUCCCUAGGACUUUAACCCAGCGUCAUUGCACAAAAGAAGAAACAUGUGGAAAUGGUUUUCCAAAGCUGGACAAGGAGGUGGACUAGCCCCCCCCCCAAAGAAAACCCCACAGGGAGGGAGGAAGAAAAGUGGGAGAGAAAGGAUAGGAAUAAAGAGAGGGAUCCCAGCCCAGAGUCUGCCUGCUGCAUUGGGGACCAGUUUCCCAGUGUCUCCCAGGGCAGCUCCCCACGGAGGCCACUGCAGCAAUCCCUUCGCACCCAGAGCAGGGCAUCCCAGGACCACAUCCUCUCUGUCCCAAAGGGAUUGUUGCUGGCAAACUAGCUGGAAAUGGGAGCUGCUACUCACCGAGUCUCCAGGGACCUUGGCAUCAAUGGCUGUGUGUGUGUGAAGCUAUCUAAUAGAAGCAUCAUCAUCAUCAAACUACCCAUCCUUUACUCUGAGUUUCAAGGGAGAUGUCUUUGGCCCCACCCACUUGGCCCUCAGGGGGUUGACCAGAUACAUACAUGGCCCUCAGAGCAAAGUAAAAGGGACCCCACCCCAGGAGUCUUUCUGGAGAGCGUUGUAGAGUCAAAGUGCAAAAACAGAAGCGGGGGGGGGGGGGGGAGAGCAACUCCUGAGGACCCCCAGGUGAGGACCCCCACUACAGCCAAGAAUCCAUUUUUCAAAAGAUACUAAUGACUCCCUUAUCAGUCAUUUCUGACUUCAUGCAUUGAUUGGAAGGCAGGAGAAACUAGGCUGAUUAAUCACCCACAAAUCCCUUCCGUUGCCUCCACAUUUUGCAUUGCAAUAUUCCUUAUAGGAGAACUAGAGGCUGCUUUCUCCUUCUCCUUCUCCUCUUUUUAAAGAAGAUCUCUCAUGGUUUGGGCUGUGGUGCCAUCCAGCCCUGGUACCUGGCAAGACACAUACAUGCUUCCUUACGGAUUCUGUUGUUUCUUCUGACCUACAGAUUCUGUAACAGAACAAUGUAUUUGCUUUUUAGGAUUUGCUAGAACUUCUCAUUCAGACAGACAGAACUUGGCAGAAGACCAAAAGGUUCCUUCCGAUCUCUCAGAGGCUUCCUGAGAGCACAGAUGGAUGAGCGAGACUCAGCUGGCCCUGAAGCAGGAAGAGGCCAUGCCAACCAAACUGGGAGCAGUGGGGGAUUCUGGGAAAACUCUGUGCAGAAGAUCCUGGAUGAGGAGGACACCCUCCGCUCAGAGGUGCAGAGCCAGCAGUUGAGGCAGUUCUGCUGCCAGGAGGCCAAAGGACCCCGAGAGGUUUGCAGCCGACUCUACCACUUUUGCCACCAGUGGCUAAAGCCAGAAAGGCACACGAAAGCUGAGAUGCUGGACCUGGUGAUCUUGGAGCAGUUCCUGGCUGUCCUUCCACCGGAGAUGGAGAGCUGGGUGAGGGACUGUGGAGCGGAGACCAGUUCCCAGGCGGUGGCCCUGGCCGAAGGUUUCCUCCUGAGUCAGGCAGAGGAGAGAGAGCAGGCAGAGAGAAAGCAGGUGAGAGAGACUUUCCUCUGGAUACUCCCAAGGGGCUCCAAAUACGAUGGAGAACAUCUCAUAUUGCUCUAUUGAUAGUCCAUGCUUUUUCUUGGAAGACAUCCAUGGAAUGACAUCUGACACCUUUAAAGCUGUUGGCCCUGACAUUCGUUUUUUAAUCCUUCACCCCAUUCUCUGUUUCGAAUCCUUAUUUCUUUUUCAGGGAAAGGAUCUCUUUGCAGAAAUGGACCUGGAUUCCUGUGAGGCAGAGAGGCCUCCGUUGGACACCAGAGAGAGGCCACUGGGUAAGGAGGAAGGUGGCUUUUCUCCAUUUGGUCUCAUUCUGUUGGUUUUCCAACUAAUCUGUGGGUUCUUUUCAUCUUUUUUUGGGGGGGGGCACAGUUGGGAACAAGGUCCAAAGGAAGGGAGAGGUAAUUUUGCACAACUAACAUAUGAAAUGGGCACAAACGUCCAACUGAACUCAGCAGGUAAGGCUUUCUGAAAGGCCCAUCUGUAGUUAGAGAUGCCCUGUUUCACCUGUGAGAGACGUGGCCAUUCCUGGCAUCCUGAUUACCUUUUUUCUCUUGCAGGUGACAGAAUGAUGCCAGCAAAACCUCCUGAUCCGCCUUUUCAUGGGGGCAGAAGGGAAGCAGCAGCUGUGGAACCAGAUCAGGUCAGGGGAAGCUGCCUUGUGGCGACAGAGACCGAGGGAUGGAUCAAUGUCAUGGACUGGUUGGGCACAGAGGAAUGGUGGGAGGAAGCAGCCGGGGAACCAGGAAGGGAAGAUGUCUCAGAGCCCAAGGAGUGAAGGUGGAAGAAGGAUGAGUGAUCAGAGGGAGAAGCCUGGGAAGAGGAGAUGUCAGAAGCUAAAGGGGUAACAGGGCUUAGUGAGCUGGGAGACACUGUGGCAGAAUGCAGUGCAGAAUCAGAGGCAGAAGAGGAAGGAGGCGAGUGGGAGGAGGGAGGUCGAGAGGCAGAGGUGAGUCAGGAGAAGGAGGAGCCACUGGUAGUAACUCUCCUUCUGCUAGAAGCCACCCUCCCUGCUUGUCUCUCAGAGCCAGGAGACGUCUGACAAUGGAGGAGCAAAGGCAGGCUGCACACUGUUUGAUCACUUGUCAGAACCCCAGAGAGGAGGGGGCUUGGAAAGCUGUGGGGAGUCGGGGGCCUUUACUCUCAGCAGCUGCUUUUGUGGAGGAAGAGACUCAGGGAAUGAGCUGCUGUUCUCAUUAGGCCUGAAACUCAGCCAAGUCUGUGAAUAAAGUGGUACCUCAGGUUACAUACACAGAAAUAGUACCUCGGGUUAAAAACUUUGCUUCAGGAUGAGAACAGAAAUAUUGCUCCAGCGGCGCGGCAGCAGCAGGAGGCCCCAUUAGCUAAAGUGGUUCUUCAGGUUAAGAACAGUUUCAGGUUAAGAACGGAUCUCCGGAACGAAUUAAGUUCUUAACCUGAGGUACCACUGUACCGUGUUCUUGCUGAUAAAGAGUUAAUUGCAGCUGUGAACUGUGGGAUUUCCUGCCCAUAUAACUCAUACCAGUCUUCUGAAUGUUGCCAGUAGGAUUCAUUUGCAGUUACUGCUUUAUUUCUACAUUGACCAUGGGCUGCUAAAAUAGGCUUCUACGCUUUGGAGAAACCAUAACCAGCAGUGGCCACGAUUCCCCUAGCCAGCCCCAUCAGCAGCACAAAGAGAACUGCCCUCCACUCCUCCCCUUGACGUUCCCUCCCCAGACAGGGCAGGGGGAGAGUAGAGGGGGCAAUAAAAUAAAUGCCUAAUGAAAGAAUUCCUUUGUUAAAAGAAGCUUCCGUUAUUAAAGUGGGAAGCAAAAGAAUCACUUUAAAAAAACACAGCCAUUAACAGGAAGGAAACAACAGAGCAUUGUGUAGCAGAUCAUAUUUCUGCUGUCUCAGGGGAGGACAUUUCCCUUUUUCUUUUAGGGUCCAGUGUGCUUUGAAGAUGUCGCUGUUUGUUUCACGGACGAGGAGUGGGCAUUGCUGGAUCCUGACCAGAGAGCUCUGCAUAAGGACGUCAUGGAGGAGAAUCGUGGGAUUGUGGCCUCUCUUGGUAAGGCUCUCUGUGGGAUCGUCAUAUUUGCCUGGAAAUUCAAAAUGAAUAUCUAUGUGAUGAACCUCCCAGAUUGUGACGGAACUUAUAAAACCCCCACAGCUCACCUUGAAUGGAAGACUGUCAACUGUCUUCUCCCUGAAUGUUCUUCCGACAGUUAUACGUUUUCAAACAAUUAUCAGGCUGGUCUGAACUGCCCUGGCCAUUUUAAAUGUCAGCUUCGGAGUUGUUAGGAAAGAUAAGUAGCUUCUGUCAGGUUUUCUGUUUUUAUUUUGCUCCUCUCAGUCUUGGGUUGACCAAAGAGAUGACUGGCAUUGGAGAUGGAGGCGAUUCCAUGAUGGGGUCAAAAGAAAUCCAUACCAGAGAAGAACUAGGCUUUUAAAAUCUCAGGUUCCCAUAAAUCUGUUAAAGUCUGUCAAUAAAGGCAAUGAACUCACAUCUAAUUCCCUUCGUUUCUUCUGCUACCCCAAGCAUUAAUUAGCAUUGUUCAAUACUUGGGGGCUGUAUUUCUUCCCGAGGCUUCAAUCUUUUUCUCUCUUCAUUGCAGAUAGUGAUGAAUUGGAAAUCAAGAACAAAAUUCCCAACGUGGAGAAGCCACAUAAAUAUUUAGAGUGUGGAAAGGGCUUCAGUCAACACUCCCAUUCCACUUCCCCUCAAAGAAAUCCCAUUUUGAGGAAAUACUAUCAGUGUUUGGAAUGUGGGAAGAACUUCAGUCAGAAGGAAAAUCUUACUUCCGAACAGAAAUGUCACAGUGGGGAGAAACCAUUUCAGUGCCAAGAUUGUGAAAAGAGAUUCACACAGAAGGAAAAUCUCAGCUCCCAUAAAAAAAAUCAUACAGGGGAGAAACCAUAUCACUGCUUGGAAUGUGGGAAGAGCUUUAGUACAAGGAAAGAAUUCUGUCAGCAUCAGAGACUUCACAGUGCAGAAAAACCAUUUAAAUACCAAGAUUGUGGAAAAGGUUCAAGUAAGAGAGCCCGUCUCACUUGUGAUCAAAGAAUUCAUGCAGAGAAACCAUAUCAGUGUGCGGAACGUGGAAAGAGCUUCAGGGGGGAGGAAAGCCUCACUUCCCAUCAGAGAAUUCACAGUGAGGAGAAACAAUUUCAGUGUCAAGAGUGUGGAAAGAUAUUCAAUCACAGGGGCAGUCUCACUUCCCAUGAAAGAAUUCACACAGGGGAGAAACCCUAUCAGUGUGUGGAAUGUGGAAAGAGCUUCAGUACAAGCUCCAAUCUCACUAAGCAUCAAAGAAUUCAUACAGGGGAGAAACCAUAUCAGUGUGCGGAACGUGGAAAGAGCUUCAGGGGGAAGGAAAGCCUCACUUCCCAUCAGAGAAUUCACAGUGAGGAGAAACAAUUUCAGUGUCAAGAGUGUGGAAAGAUAUUCAAUCACAGGGGCAGUCUCACUUCCCAUGAAAGAAUUCACACAGGGGAGAAACCCUAUCAGUGUGUGGAAUGUGGAAAGAGCUUCAGUACAAGCUCCAAUCUCACUAAGCAUCAAAGAAUUCAUACAGGGGAGAAACCAUAUCAGUGUGUGAAAUGUGGAAAGAGUUUCAGUAGGAACAACAAUCUUACUUCCCAUCAAAGAAUUCAUACAGGGGAGAAACCAUAUCAGUGUGUGGAAUGUGGAAAGAGCUUCAGUCAUAGCUCCCAUCUCACUUCCCAUCAAAGAAUUCACACUGGGGAGAAGCCAUAUCAGUGCUUUGAAUGUGGAAAGAGCUUCCGUGACAAGAAGAUUCUCUCUUCUCAUCAACUAAUUCAUACAGGGGAGAAACCCUAUCAGUGUGUGGAAUGUGGAAAGAGCUUCAGUAAGAAGGUCAAUCUUACUUCCCAUCAAAGAAUUCAUACAGGGGAGAAACCCUAUCAGUGUAGGAAAUGUGGAAAGAGCUUCAGUCAUAGCUCCCAUCUCACUUCCCAUCAAAGAAUUCACACUGGGGAGAAGCCAUAUCAGUGCUUUGAAUGUGAAAAGAGCUUUAAUCAGAGAGCCCAUCUCACUUCCCAUCAAAGAAUUCACACUGGGGAGAAACUCUAUCAGUGCCUAGAAUGUAGGAAGAGCUUCAGUGACAGGAGCACUCUCACCGCCCAUCAAAGAAUUCACAGCGGGGAGAAACCAUAUUCAUGUUUGGAAUGUGGAAAGAGUUUUACCUGGAAGCAAAGUCUCACUUUCCAUCAAAGAACUCAUAUUGGGCAGAAUCAGAGAAUCAUUUAAUUGUGGUGUUGUAAGUGACCUCUAGUGCCAUCAAGUCCAACCCCCUGCAAUGUAGGAAUCACAACGAAAACAUCCAUGGCAGAUGGCCUUCCAACCUCUGCUGUAAAACCUCCAUGGAAGGAAAGUCCAUCACUUUCCAAAGGAGUCCAUUCCACUGUAUAACUGCUCCUAUUGUCAAAACGUAAGGUUUUUAAAGAGAGAUUGGAUGGUCAUCUGUCAUGGAUACUUUAGUUGAGAUUCCUGCACUGCAGCGGGUUGGACUAGAUUACCCUUCCAACCCUAUGAUUCUCUUCUUCUUUGGCGAUCCCUCGUAGCCGAGUAAGGUUGUUUUCCAUGAACAUGGUCUUAACAGUGAAUCCGUAAGUGACUGGAGGCCAAUUCUGGAUCCACACCUCCUUCCACAGUGGGGACAUUGGUUUCUGGGCAGGAGUUGAUAACGGUGAGUGCUGGGAAGUUUUUGCCUCUGCACAUGAGUCUGAGAAUGUUCUGAACAGUUCCCAUUGAGUUCAUGAAACAGUGUACCUUGACCUGUUCUUAAUGCAUUGCUGACCACAUCUACGGAACAUGAUUGUUGUAUUCUUUCAUGUUAUGAUCAAUCAUUAGUAAUUGUUUUAGUCUUGCUAUAUCAAUCAUUAGUUAUAAUUUAAUUAGGAGGUUUCAUGCCUAUCUAGUUCUGUGCUCCCUUUCCCAGCCUUUAAUCUAUUGGUGAUUAAUGCCUAUAUGUAACCUUUGCUUUGUAUUUGUGUCAACCAAUCAGCAACGAGCGCACCUGUGGCAAUGUUGUAAUAUUCAAUAAAAGCUUCUUCUCGGGACUUGCUCUAGAGAUGCCUCUCACAUGACACCUGCUACUCGUCUGUCGUUACUUCAACCCAACAGGUGAGGGUUUGCCAAGUGUGCCUUCCUCUAUUACUUUUCUCUC